rfam:Hordeum vulgare subsp. vulgare, WGS project CAJW01000000 data, contig: morex_contig_82267
UGAAACAAGUGAUGCAAACAAUCCCCAUUUGCUGGAUCACUUUGAUAAUUAUAGACAAGAUGACCAUCUUUCAGCUGAGAUUGCA